rnacentral:rRNA from 1 species
CCUACGGGUGGCAGCAGUGAGGAAUAUUGGUCAAUGGACGAGAGUCUGAACCAGCCAAGUAGCGUGAAGGAUGACUGCCCUAUGGGUUGUAAACUUCUGUUAUAAAGGAAUAAAACGAGGCACGUGUGCCUUUUUGCAUGUACUUUAUGAAUAAGGAUCGGCUAACUCCGUGCCAGCAGCCGCGGUAAUACGGAGGAUCCGAGCGUUAUCCGGAUUUCUUGGGUUUCAAGGGAGCGUAGAGGGGUUGUUACGUCAGUUGUGAAAGUUUGCGGCUCAACCGUAAAAUGGCAAUUGAUACUGGCAGUCUUGAGUACAGUUGCGGUCGGCGGACUUCGUUGUGUCGCCGUGA